UGCUUUUUGAAAAUAUAAAAAGUAAUACCUGCCCAAUGAUAUUUAAAUGGCCGCAGUAUAUUGACUGUGCAAAGGUAGCAUAAUCAUUUGCUUUAUAAAUUAAAGCUUGUAUGAAUGGUAAAAUGUAAAUAUAGCUGUCUUUAUGUAAAAUUAAAACUUAUCUUUUCAGUGCAGAGACUGAAAAUUUUUAGAAAGACGAGAAGACCCUAAUGAGUUUUAUAUAUAAAUCUUAUAUGAAUAUUUAUGUAUUUUAUUGGGGCGAUUAAAGAAUAUAUCUUCUUUUUAAAGAAAAUAAUAAUUAUUAAUGAUUCAUCUUUGAUGAAAAUAAGUUUAAAUUACCAUAGGGAUAACAGCAUAAUCUUUUUUAAGAGUACAUAUCGACAAAAAGGAUUGUGACCUCGAUGUUGGGUUAAGAAAAUUAUAUAAAGUAGUAUUUAUAUCAAUAAGUCUGUUCGACUUUUAAAUUCUUACA
rnacentral:rRNA from 1 species